GGGAAUUUUCCGCAAUGGGCGAAAGCCUGACGGAGCAAUGCCGCGUGGAGGCGGAAGGCCUACGGGUCGUCAACUUCUUUUCUCGGAGAAGAAACAAUGACGGUAUCUGAGGAAUAAGCAUCGGCUAACUCUGUGCCAG
rnacentral:rRNA from 1 species